UAUUACUUUACUCAUAAACCGACAUUACCCUCUCCUAAAAUCUCUGUGCUCUCCCUCCCCACAGGCUUCUGUGGAUGGUGGUUCUAUGUGAUGGUGGUUGCCCCUGCAGUGGUCCUGCUAUCCAACUAAAUGGAUAAAGAUGGGAUCCAGCUGAAAUAAAGACCUGAAUUAAACGGACAAAUUUACGGGCUGCUGUUUGGAUAUCUGGAAAAUUGAUCAGUAUGGCAGGUCCAGUGCAGAAUUCACACAGGCUGUCUGUGAAAACGUGGACAGAGGAUGAGAGUGACAGAGCUGAGAGCACACCAAGCAGGGCACAGUCGAUGUGUGAUGACACUUCAUCGGAGCUUCAGAGGAUGGCGGCCAUUGACCGAAGAGAUAUUAAUUCUCAGAAUUC
ensembl:lncRNA